GCGCCCGUAGCUCAGCUGGAUAGAGCGAUGGUUUCCGGUACCAUGUCUGCCGGGGGUUCGAAUCCCUCCGGGCGCGCCA
rnacentral:tRNA from 1 species